rnacentral:lncRNA from 1 species
AUGGCCAUGGUCACCCAGAGCCAUGGUCACCUCAUGGCCAUGGGCACCUCAUGGCCAUGGUCACCCAGAGCCAUGGUCACCUCAUGGCCAUGGUCACCCAGAGCCAUGGUCACCUCAUGGCCAUGGUCACCCAGAGCCAUGGUCACCUCAUGGUCAUGGUCACCUCAUGGCCAUGGUCACCCAGAGCAACAGUCACCACACAACCACGAUCAUCUCAUGGCCAUGGACACCCAGAGUCAUGGUCACCUCAUGGCCAUGGUCACCUCAUGGCCGUGGUCACCUCAUGGUCAUGGUCACCACACAACCAUGGUCACCCAGAGCCAUGGUCACCUCAUGGUCAUGGUCACCCAGAGCAACGGUCACCACACAACCACGGUCAUCUCAUGGCCAUGGACACCCAGAGUCAUGGUCACCUCAUGGUCAUGGUCACCACAAAACCAUGGUCACCUCAUGGUCAUGGUCACCCAGAGCCAUGGUCACCUCAUGGCCAUGGUCACCUCAGAUCCACGAUCACCUCAGAGGCACGGCCACAGAUCUUCGUGCUAUGGCUACCUCAGAGCCACGGCCAGUUGCCUUCAGACCUUGGUCACCUCAGAGACACGGUCACCUACAGAAGGGCAUGGCCACGAUAACGUCAGGACUCUUGGUCAUCAUCAAGACGACCACGGAGUCCCUUUGGUCAUCUCGGGGUCACAGCCCCACAGAAGGUGUGUGGCCCCACAGUGUGAACCUGAGCACGUGCAGAAAAAACCUCAUUUGUGCAAAUUCCAUGGGAUGGGCACGGUGUCUCCACACGGAUCUGCCCUGGGAGCGUUCCCCUCCCCACCCCAGGGAAGUGUCUCGCUCCCAAACGUGCUUCAAACCAAUUCACUCCAUGUCCACAUGUUCCCUUGGAACAUUCCCAUGGAAUUCCCACGCUCCAGCCACACCAAGAGUCAAUCCACACAAAAGGGAGAUGGACACACAACAGAACCCUCUGCUACAGACCCAGCCCAGCAGCCUCCACACCCUCAAUCCCAAAAAAAAAAGGAAUUUUCUGGGACCCACUCACCCCCCUUGCCGUGCACCCUCACGAACCCAAGGAUUUUGCACCAAAAAGAGAGGAAUCCUACCUUGUGGAAGGUUAAUAUUGUGACAGAAAGGCAGGGAGCUUUCAAAACAGAGAUUAUUUUAAACACUGGCCCUGUUUUUUGCUGA